rnacentral:lncRNA from 1 species
AAAAAAACAGAGUUUCCUUUCAUUCAGCAUAAUAAUCAAAGUUAUAUAGGCUGAUUAAAACCACAUAAAUAGAAGUCUUAAAAUAGGAUUUCUUAAUAUCUCAAACCACAACUGUCCACAGGAAGCAACAUUAUAUUUUUACAAAUACGCUGAUGAAUCUAUCAAUAAUCUGUGUCCAACAUGCAACAAUAAAGCAUUUAUUUUGGUGUAAACUGAAGAUAUGUGGAAUGAGUAACAUGUUGCAUGUUGCACUUCAAAUACACACGUCGAUACAUACGAUAUCAACUGACAAAGAUUUCUCAUUUGAGAUGUUUAGCAUACCAGUCCAGCAAGUCCUGAUGUGCCUCGUCUGCAGCUUUCACAGCUUCUGCAUCUUCCAGGUCGUAUCUCACAGUCCAACCAUGUGAAACUUUAGGAAAUAUUUUCACAAAACUUGCCUGCACAAUAAAACUAGGUUCAUGAGUCACUAGUGUUUAAAAAGGUGAAAAAGCUAAGUAAAACAAUUUGACUAAUUAAAUAUUCUUGUAACUAACAACACGUGUGUGAGUGCGCGUGCGCCCACGUGUGCAUCCGAAAGAAGAUAAGAUUAGAAUAUCAAAUGAUGCCAGAUAACCACGAAUGGAAAAUUAAUCUGACCACAGGUUUAGUAGAUAGGAUUUCUUCAAACUGUUUCACAAGCUCUGGAGGAGAAAGUUUGUCAAUCUCAGCUCCAAGUAUAGAAAUGGGAAUGUCAACACCUGAAUUUAAAGACAAUAAUUAACCGUUAGACUAUGAACAUCUCUGUAGUUAAGAAAUAUGUUUCUCCUAGUUCUACUUUGCCUUUAUUCAAUCAUUGCAAAAAUUAAAAGCCUGGUCCAUUAAACUACCUGCGUUGUAAUUAGCCUUUAGAAACAUAAAUUAAAUUCCAAAUCCAUUAAAACUGCAUCUCAUAUAGUCAGCAACAAAUGAAUUCCUAAUUUUUUCACUAACAUAUAAUCAUUUGUAUGUUAAUUUAACAUAUACACUACUAUUACUUGAAAACAUGCAACUAGCAAUCAUGCUUAAAUUGAUGGCAAUCAUAAUUGAUAAGCUUCAUUUUUUAACAAACCAUAACAUAAAUUUAGUAGUUUGUUUUGGCGGAAGAUUUUGAAGACAUUCUGUAAACAAAGAAUAUGCAAAUUAAGAAGUAAAAAACUUCAAAUAAUGAAAAUCCAUACCCUUUAUGUCAUCCACAGAGACAAACGAUGGAUGCAAUAGCACAACAGCUUGAAUAAGUACGGAUUUCGCGAGUUCAGUAACAACCUUAGCUGAGAAAAGGAAGUAAUCAUAGUAUAUUCUGUAAGUUCAAAUUUUAGCUGAGUUGCAUUUCAAAUAUUAAAUCCGAUUGAUGAGUAAACCUAUGAGAAUCUGAAACGUCUUCAUACAGAAAAGGAGGGGUGAUGCAUAGAAAUAAGUAGAAUGAGUAGCACUCACCACCCCAGCAAAAUCCAGCAGCCCCGAUAGAUGAAACACCUUUACUUUUUAUGGCUUCGAGUACGAGUUUUGCAUCUUCAAAACCUUUAUCCUAUUAAUAUAACAAUAAUAGGUAUGCAUCAGAGAAUGACACAAUUUGUAAUGUACAAUCAACAAAUCGAAACCACAAAUAAAAGUGGGAGGGCAAUGGCUGAAGUGAUAAAAUUACACAAACAAGACAUGAACUUAGUUAUGCGGAUUCCAAAAUCAAAAUUCCAAUAAGUAUACAAAAUUGGAUUUCAAUUUAUUAGAAAAAAACAAAAUUUAUUUCCUUUUUUACUUAUCAAGGAAAAGAGAAGCAUAAACAACCAUGUAAGUACGGUUAAAUAAGAACUAACCGUCCCAUGAUCUUUUAACCAAAUAGGCAAUGGCCUAUCAGGGUUCUCGGGAUUGUAGGGAUUGCCAUUAAAGAAGUCAGGAACAGCAACAUAAUAACCAGCAGCUGCAACUUUGUCUGCAAGCUUC